UUUAUUAAGAACUUCUUAAAACAACCCUAUAAAUAAAAUGUUUCAGGCCCAUGUAGUACUACGGACGGGGGAUUUAACGUUUUCAGCUUUACGGGAAGGGCUGAAAUUUGGACGAUAACGAGGAGGGGUAAGAUGUUUGCCGGAAGUCGAACCUCCUUCCGGAAGACCCAUUAAUUUUCGCUGUAAAGGGGUUAGUUGUAAAUCGUCGAAAGUAGGUUGUGGACGAACAAACUGCCAAACUGAUUCCAACAGGUUAAACAAUAAAAGUGCCUGGAGUAUCCAAGAAACAACCUUUACGGCAGUGGUAUUCGGUAAGUACCUAUUCAAGAAUUGAAUACUAAUAAAAGCAAAUAAAUUGGAUACCAUUCUGCUCCACGUCCGGUCUGAAGGUGCUUGAUCAUGAAGUCUCUUAGCUAUUUUGUCUACAGCGGGGUGCUUCCAGUAUCCACGUGGGAUAUGAGAUUCAUUUAUGUUGUCUGUCCCAGGAGCAGGAAUCGAUGGCAGCUUCAUUGAAUUAAUUACGGGUUUUUUAUCUUCUUCUUUACUAGGGAUGAUAUUUGGUUGCUGUUCUUGAGGUUUAUGAAGGGAAGAAGCUUUCGGGUCUGUAGGUAAAACUUUAGGAAGUGUAAUAGGAAAAUUGGCUUCAGUAUUCUUUGAUGAAUCGACCUUGUUCUCAGCGGAAUCUUCAUAUAGAGAACGCGCAAAAACCGAUUGUGAAAAUGUACUCGCCAUUAUAUUCUUUUUUUGAACAAUUUAAAAGAUAGGUUAGAAAUUAUUUUAGCAAAUGUAGGUGUAAACGCGAGACUUAAGAAAAUUCGAAGUGGAAGAAGUAACUGGUAAAAUGUUAGUUGGAAACAAACGGACGCGUAGAAGACACCAUAUUAUUUUCGACAAAAUAAGCUUA